rnacentral:rRNA from 1 species
GACUCUCAGCAAUGGAUAUCUCGGCUCUUGUCACGAUGAAGAAUGUAGUGAAAUGUGAUACUUAGUGUGAAUUGCAGAAUCCCAUGAAUCAUCAAGUUUUUGAAUGCAAUUUGCGCCCUAGGCCUCGGUCGAGGGCAUGUCUAUUUGGGCGUCG